AAAGAGCCCCAGAGAGACGCCUUCCACUUGGCCAUGUGAGGACCCAGCAAGUAGGCACCAUCCGUGAGCAGCAAGUCCUCUCUACACACCAUGUCUGCUGGAGCCUUGAGCUCAGGCUUCCCAGCCUCCAGAACUUUUGGAUUCUCUUGGAAACAGAACCUGAAUUAAGGACUUGGGAGUGGUCCUGAGGAGAAGUAAGGGAAGAGGAGGAAAUGAGACACAGAAGAGAGAAAAACAGUGAGGUGUGCACUGUAAAUCCAGAGCUCACAAUGUGACCACCUGAUUAUUUGUCAUCUCUCUAGCCUUAAAAAGCAAGUGCUAAGACAGACAAUUUCCAGUUUGUUCUCAAUCUUACCACCAAUUGUAAAUAUGCAGCCUACACACCAACGCUGUGGAGAGUAAAGGAAAAUAAUCUUUGAAUAUCAAAUGUCUUUGCCCACAUUGUUCUACCCUGGCCUGUUAUGUUUGGAUUAAGAACUUCAGCGAUGAAGUAUGAAUAACAGAGACUCAGCAAAAAGUAAGGAGCACAUCAGGGGCCCUGAAUCUCAGGCCUGCUCUCUGUGUCUGGAGUGUGCGGGGUGUGAGUGAAUCACACCAGCUGUGAAGAUCUCAGCUCGGGGCUAAUGGAGACUGCUUUCCUGCUUAUGAAGUCCCCUCGUGUGCAUGGAGGGUGUGGCCAGGUCAAGGAGAGAACAGUGAGGUCAGCAGGAGGGCGAGCCCCCCACACCACACGCAUAGCAGCUGUCUACCCUGGCCACUGUCCCCACUGGCUGUGCUGAAGUUCACCUCUCUGUAAAGCUGCCUCACCACAGCUCUUGUCACACUGUGCUACAACCACUUGAUGUCCCUGGGCCUUGGCCCAUGGGUAACCAGGCGAUGCUCUAAAGCUAUAGCUGAGCCAGGAGAGGUGGCAGCAUCUGCUGGCCCAGUACUUGGAAGUCUGAGGCAGGAGAAUCACUUUAGUCCAGGAUUUCAAGACCAGCCUAGGCAACAUAGCAAAACGCAGUCCAAAAACACAGAAAAACUAA